CUUGAACGCUGGCGGCAGGCCUAACACAUGCAAGUCGCACGAGUGGCGGACGGGUGAGUAAUGUCUGGGAAACUGCCUGAUGGCGGGGGAUAACUACUGGAAACGGUAGCUAAUACCGCAUACCAUCGGAUGUGCCCAGAUGGGAUUGGCUGGUAGGUGGGGUAAAGUCUCACCUAGGCGACGAUCCCGAGCUGGUCUGAGAGGAUGACCAGCCACACUGGAACUGAGACACGGUCCCGACUCGUACGGGUGUCAGCAUUUGGGAAUAGUGCACAAUGGGCGCAAGCCGGACGCAGCCAUGCCGCGUGUAUGAAGAAGGCCUUCGGGUUGUAAAGUACUGUCAGCGGGGAGGCGUUACCCGCAGAAGAAGCACCGGCUAACUCCGUGCCAGCAGCCGCGGUAAUUC
rnacentral:rRNA from 1 species